rnacentral:tRNA from 1 species
GUAGUUCAGUUGGUUAGAAUACAUGCCUGUCACGCAUGGGGUCGCGGGUUCGAGUCCCGUCCA